UUCACCGCAGUGUUUCAUCUGCUGGUCGGACUUUAGCAUGCAUGCUAAGCCAGCCCUAACUCCAAACAAAACACAGGCGCCGGUACGUUGAUGUGUGACGUACAGUAGACAGACAGGUCCUGGCAGACGAAUAAAAAAUUCCUUGCAGAAUGACUCCUCCAACAGCAGCAGAGAGGAUUACCUUCUCUUAUCUGAGUGAGCUGCUGGACUCUGGACCAGACUGAGGGAACCAUUGGUGUAUCUGGCUUCAUCCCUAGCUCAGCAAGGCGUCCGGAGCUGGAUGGUAUGGGGCUUUGGUUC